rnacentral:rRNA from 1 species
GUAGGGAAUAUUGGUCAAUGGACGAAAGUCUGAACCAGCCAUUCCGCGUGCAGGAAGAAGAUUCUAUGGAUUGUAAACUGCUUUUAGCAGAGAAGAAACGCCUUCAUUGAUGAGGGUUUGACGGUAUCUGCGGAAUAAGCACCGGCUAACUCCGUGCCAGCAGCCGCGGUAAUACGGGGGGUGCAAGCGUUAUCCGGAAUCACUGGGUUUAAAGGGUGCGUAGGCGGGAAAUUAAGUCAGUGGUGAAAGUCUGUUGCUUAACGAUAGAAUUGCCGUUGAUACUGAUUUUCUUGAAUUGGGUUGAGGUGAGCGGAAUGUGACAUGUAGCGGUGAAAUGCAUAGAUAUGUCAUGGAACACCAAUUGCGAAGGCAGCUAGCUGGGCCUUGAUUGACGCUGAGGCACGAAAGCGUGGGUAGCGAACAGGAUUAGAUACCCCGGUAGUCC